UGUGGGGCCCUGGUGUGAGGGAGAAGCCGAAAUGGAGAUCUUCCCCCCCACCGAGAAGGGGAAGGGGAAAAGGGGAAAGAAGGUCUGUUUUUAUCUCAAUACUCCGGGCCCUAUGUUGGGAACCAAAAAUGUCUGUCGUUGUUUAACUGCAGCCCUAACUAAGUACUGCACAGCUGCUACCUCACUACCCUUGCCCCAGUGGAGAGGAGAAUUGGAAAGAAUAGAAUUAGAAUAGCAAUGUUCUGAAGAGUAGAAAAAAAAAUGAACAGAGUUGGUUCCAACAGAGGAAGAGCUGAGACAUAUGUGCAGAAGACAGAACAAGUUUAAACUAUUUGGAAAUGUUUGAGACACAUCAUUUUCUCAAAUGAGAGUUGUGGUCACUUGGCACACUGAGAUAUUCUCUGUCAUUUGAGUGCUGCAUUUUUCCACGGAAUGGAAAUUUAUGGGAUUUCUCAUUUAAGAAGUGUCCUAGGACCUGUCUUGCUCAGCCCUAAAGCCAGUCUUUCAUGCAUCUGGGAAGGACCAUUAUUCUGUUUUCAUGGUGGGUUUAUGUUGCUGUCUCACCAAUCUCUGUGGAGUCAGCUGAAUUCCAGUGGUUAUAAAAUGAUCCUUCAGGUGGCUGUAAGACUACUGGUAACACAAUCCUAUAAUAUCUCAGACUUCAACUCUGUAAG